AACCAGAAGGCGCAAUGAAAGUGAAGGCACGGUUGCCGUGCUGAGGUGAGAGCUGUCCCNUGGCAGCACAUCAUCGACCGAUCCCAUCCGCACCCCCGUGGUGCGGCGGGAUUCGAGUAAGAGUGUACCUGUUGCGACCCGAAAGAUGGUGAACUAUGCCUGAAUAGGGUGAAGCCAGAGGAAACUCUGGUGGAGGCCCGUAGCGAUUCUGACGUGCAAAUCGAUCGUCAAAUUUGGGUAUAGGGGCGAAAGACUAAUCGAACCAUCUAGUAGCUGGUUCCCUCCSAAGUUUCCCUCAGGAUAGCUGUAGCCCGAAGCAGUUUUAUCAGGUAAAGCGAAUGAUUAGAGGUAUCGGGGAAGAAACUUCCUCGACCUAUUCUCAAACUUUAAAUAGGUAAGAAGUCCGACUUGCUUAAUUUGAAGCCGGACACAGAAUGCUGGGUUACUAGUGGGCCAUUUUUGGUAAGCAGAACUGGCGAUGCGGGAUGAACCGAACGCUGAGUUAAGGUGCCAAAGUCGACGCUCAUCAGAUCCCACAAA
rnacentral:rRNA from 1 species